rnacentral:lncRNA from 1 species
AAAAAUUCGACUUAACUUUAUUUAUCUUAAAAUGAGCAACAUAACAGAGGCUUUUGGAUCAAUGGAAGUGGACCCUAAAAAUAAAAGAAAAAUUGGCCCAAAAGACAAGAGGCCUAUGCUAAAACAAAAUAAUUAGAAAAAUGAAAGAAGCAAAAAACAUCUAAUCCAAACGUCUAAUCCAAUCGGUGUCAAAUUGCUGGUGUCCACUAAUAUCUAACAUUCCAAGUUCCAAUGCAAGCCGUUCAAAACGAUAGCAAUUUCCUAGGAGAUUUCUUUUCUGCUAUCCUUCCUCUUCAGAUUUCUCUAGAUCUCCUUCAAUCUGGAUUUCUCAACCCUUUCUCCUCUCUUCCACGCUGAAGGCAAGUGAAGCUUGUAUCCUCCAGGUAUGUUUCAUCUCCCUUUCUUAAAGCUUCUGUUGCAAGUUCAUGAGGUUGACUAUUCUCUGAUCUGUGAAUAAACUGGAAGUUGCUUUCUUGAAAAAAUUAUUUCUUUCUUUGAAUAUCUCGGAUGACUGCCCCUAGCACUAACUUAUCUGUUGCUGUUGAGUUGCAUAUUUUAUAACUAUUUUUAAGUCUCCCAUUAUAAUAACUGAUUGAAAACCCAGUGAGAUCUCUAACUUUACUGCUUGUAAUCCUGCAUAUGCCUCUGCCAUGAAUGGGGACGAUAUUGCGAAAUGGAGUACUAAUUUUAAGGCAAAAAACUCGUCCAUCUCCCUCCGUACCACCAGACCUAAAAUCGAUCUUGAAUAUUUGCUAUCGAAUGCUGCGUCAAAAUAGAUAGUUGCUGUCGUAUUUCUUGUGAUCUAUCUCUAACUUCUGUUAUCAACUAAGGUAGAUGGUUUUUCUUCCAAUCCAUUUAUUUCUGCUAUAUAACCGUAAACUCUUUUUGAUAACUCUCGUUCCUGUUGUUGUUUUCCCCUCAUGGGCAAGUUGGUUUCUGGCACUCCAUAUCAUCCAUGCAGCACAGCAAAAAAGGCGACAUUGUUGACUGUUACCUAUGGUAAAAACCCAAGUAAGCCAGUCCCACAGAUCUGGAAUAGCAUUAUUUGUGACCCAUGAGAGAUUAAUAUUUUGCCAUGUUUCUGUUCUUGUAGGGCACUAUCUAAACACAUGGUUGCUAUGUUCUUUUGCAUUUCGACACCGGGGGCAUGAGCUAUCUGAAGCCACUCUUCUUAGUCUUAAAUUCUUUAGGGUAGGGAUAAAGUUCCAUGAAAGACGCCAAAUAAUGAUGGCAAUUUUUAAUGGGUGGUGUAAAUUCCAUAAUUUCCUAUAGAAAUUUUUUGUUUCAGUCUAUAUUAAAUAAGCACUAGGAUCCUAGUUGCCUCUUGUAAUAGUUUAUAGGCACUUCUAACUGUAAAUUCGUCAGAAUGUUCUCCUCGCCAGACUUGGAAGUCGUCAUGUUCUUUCACAAAAUGAAUUUGCAGAAUCUUUUGUGCAGUAUUUUUUGGAAAGGUAUUUUCAAUUAGAUCAGCUUUCCACUUUCUUGUUGUUGCUUCAAUUAAGUCCGAAACUAACUCAAUUCCUAUAUUGUUGAUGUUGUCAUUACUUCUAUUAAUAUCUACACCUAGAAUCCAAUGAUCAUUCCAAACAGAAAUUCGGUCUCCUUUACUAACUCACCAACAUAAACCAUCUUGCAGUAACCCUUUUGCUGCCCAAACACUUUUCCAGGUAAGAAAAGGUAAAUUCCCUAGCUAUGCAUGGAUGAAAUCUGACUGUGGAUAAUAUUUUACUUUUAAGACCUUUGCUAAUAAUGAAUUUGGCAAAUUAAUAAGGCGCCAACCUUGCUUGGCUAAUAAGGCAAUAUUAAAUUGAUCAAGACUUUGAAAACCUAAACCACCCUCUUCUUUUGCGAUACAUAGAGCUUUCCAAGCACACCAAUGAAUGCCCCUUUUACCAUGACCCUUCUGCCACCAAAAUUUCGCAAUAAUGCUCUCAAGAUCAGCACAUAAAGUCUUGGGAAGUAAAAAAUAGGUCAUUGUAUACGUCGGAAUAGCUUGAAGAAUAACUUUAAUGAAAACUUCUUUCCCACCUUGAUAGAGAUGUUGAAUACUCCAAUUUUCAAUUCUCUGUUUAAAUCUAUCUUUUAAGUUUUGAAAUGCCUUCUUUUUCCUUCUACUGAACAUAUUCGGUAAUCCAAGGUAAUGUUCUGGGUCAUUAGAACUUUGUAUGCCCAGUAUGCGAGUAACUAGUCUCUUUUCUUCCUCUCGGGUAUUAGAGCUAAAGAAAACCUUAGAUUUAUCAAAAUUGACUUUUUGUCCCAAACAAUUUCCAUACUCGCGUAGAAUAUUUUUUAAGAAUCUAGCUCCCCUUUCAGUAGCCUCUCCAAAUAGAAUACAAUCAUCUUCAAAGAGCAAAUGUGAAAUUUGUGGUCCUCUUCUGCUUGCCUUAACCCUUUUUAAAUGCCCUUCAUGAAAUGUCAGCCUCAUUAGGCUAGAUAAGCCUUCUCUGCAAAUCAAAAAUAGAAAUGGACUCAAAGGGUCACCUUGUCGUAACCCUCUUGUAGGUUGAAAUAUAUCCCCAGCAUGGUCAUUAAAUACCACUGAAUAGGAGAUAGUAGAUACACAUUUCAUAAUAGAAUCAAUUCAAUUUGGGUCAAAACCCAUUUUCCUCAGCAUCUCCUAUACAAAACUCCAUUUGACUCUAUCAUAUGCUUUACUCAUAUCCAAUUUAAUUGCCAUCAGUCCCUUUUUUCCUCUCUUUUUUCUCUUUAGGGUAUGUAAAAUUUUGCAAGCCAAUAAUACAUUGUCUGAAAUUAAUCUUCCUGGCACAAAAGCACUUUGUGCAUUAUCAAUGUGUUUCUCUAAGACUUCUCUAAAGCGAUUAGCAAUAGCCUUUUCUAAUAUUUUAUAAAUGACAUUACAUAAGCUAAUGGGACGAAAAUGGGAAAGGUUGGUCGGAUUUACUUUUUUAGGAAUAAGCAUAAUAUGUGUGGUAUUAAUUGGACUAACCUCCAUGCCUCUUUUUAGAUGUUGUAGACAGAAAGUUGAGACCUCGUCUCCAACAAUGUGCCAAUAUUUUUGAAAAAAUAAGGCUGGAAAACCAUCUUCACUGGUGCUUUUGUAGCGCCCAUACUUGUCAGUGUCUCCCUAAUCUCAUCAUUUGUAUAUUACACUGUGAGUCUACAGUUAUCCUCUUCAGUAAUACACCAAUCAACACCUAUUAAGAGAUGUUCAUAAUGGUCUUUUUCACCAGCCUCGAAUAACUUUUGAAAAUAUGUCCUAGCGAUUUCUGCUAUUUCUUGCAUAUCCUCCGUCGCUCUUCUAUUUGUAUUCUGUAACUUUUGAAUGUUGUUUCUCUACCGCCUUUGUGUUGCAAGACUAUGAAAGAAAGCUGUAUUUCUGUCCCUAAGUUUCAGCUAGUUUACUCUUGCUAUAUGUUCCCAGUAUCUUUCAUCCUUGUCAAUUUCAAAGUUCAAUUGCAACUUUGUACCAAUCAGCUCUGCUAAAUUAUUAUCACUCCUCUCAGCCUCCAUCAAUUUAGACAACUUUGAAGUCAAGAUUUCUUUUUUCCGUCUUCUAGAAUGGCAGCUUUGUAUAGCCUAUUUCUCCUGGCCCUUUCUAAGAUACUCCAAUUUUUGUAGAAGAUCUCCUGAUGUUGCUUCCCACAUGAAUUUAACUUCAGCUUCGAAUGUUUCCUCCAAUACCCACCAAGCCUCAAAUUUAAUUUUUUUUCAACUCCUUCUAUUAUCAUCCUCUUUUUUUUGUGGUGAUUAAAAGAGGAUAAAGAUCAGAGGUCAAGUGCACCAAAUGUUGAAUGGUGACUUCAGGAAACAUUGACAUCCAAUUUUCAUUGGCCACGCCUCUGUCUAAACGCUCUUAAAUAUUUGUUUCUGGUAAAUUCCCCCUUUCUCAAGUAAACCAUUUUCCAGAAUAGCCCACAUCCAUCAGUCGACAAUCUUCUAAAGCAUUACGAAAAGCUUCCAUUCUUCUUUCCUCUCUAGGUAGCCCUCCUUUUUUUUCAUACCCAUACAUGAUUUCAUUAAAAUCUCUGCAAAAAAACCAAGGCAAUUCCUUAUUGCUGCACAAACCUCUUAGUAGAUUCCAUGAUUCACCCCUCUCUUAUACAUAAGGGGAACCAUAGAAGCCUGUAAGUCUCUAUUGCUGUCCAUUAUUUUGGUCGUCAAUAAAUACGUCAAUAUGCCUUUUUGAGAUAUUCUAAAGCAUAAUAGAAACAUCACCUUUCUAAGCUAGGCAUAAACCUCUUCUCGAACCAUCGGAAUCCACAUUAAUGCCAUUGAUAAAACCACAACUUCUUCACACUCGUUCCACCUGUACUUUAUUAAUCUUCGUCUCCAUGAAGAAGACCACUUGGGGGAUGUGUAUCUUCAGCGUGUGCCGAAGCCUAUGAAUUGUUAGUGGAUUCCCCAAACCGCGGACAUUCCAACUUAAUAUUUUCAUUGCGGUUAGUCAACUUGCCUUUUGGCAGCUGCCGGUGAAAAAAGAUCAUUGCCCAACAUUCUUCUAUUCCUUGCUGUUGCAAUUUCGCCUUCUUCUCUUGGUGAUAAAUCUUCUCUUUCCCCACUAAGCCUUUUUUUUUCUUCCUCUCUAAUUAUCACCCUUUCCUCCAAAUCAUGUUCUAUUGCAGAAUGAGCCUGGUUGGCCAAUAUAUUUUCCAUCCAUUGGGAGGCAGAGGACAAAUUACCUUCUAAAUUAAUCCCCAAAACAGGAUCAAUGAUUUUUCCUAUCUCCAGCUUAUUCCGUAUUCCAACCAAAUACUCUUCAUUGCCAAAGCUCUCUUGGAUUGUACUCGUAAAGACAAAUCCCAUCCCAUUACCGCCACUGCCACCCCCGACGCCAUCUUUGCCUCACAAAAAGAAUCACUGUGACCCAGCCGACCAAAAUAGAAACAGAAAAGAGUCAGCCUUUCAUAUUUAAAUCUGACGUAUGAACAAUUCUUAAAAAAGAUAAUCUAUUUUUUCCUCUUUAACAUGUGGCGAACAACUAAUUAAACCCGAAUUCGCAUAAAAUUCCUAUUCCCUUUCCCCAGAUUUGAACUAUCAUACUCCAAAAAUUUGCCCAAAAAAUUACCUACAUGCCUUGCUAGACUUUUAGAGAAAAACCCCAUUGGAAUAUAAUGGAUUUGUACCCAAAAAGAAGAAAGAUUAAAAGGACUCGUAAUGGAUCUCCCCCUAUUGUAGCAUAUGUAGAAUCAGUAAGUGGUUAUUGAAUGUCCAUAGAGAACCCUUCAAAACUCUAUCCAUAUCCAUAGCAUGAAAAAAUUGGAAUAGAAAACGUUUCUUUCCUAAGUUUAAGAUUUAAACUCCUCUGACUGGAUGCCACAGGUUUGCCAUGGUGCUUUUCAUUGCCAGAAAGUGGAUAACACUGGCUGUUAAAAAACAUCCCACCAAAAGAAAAGAGUUUCCUUCCUUUUCCAGAUUCGACUCAACUUGUACUUGUAAAAUUGUUUCUUCUUCAUCAAGCGUUAACUCAGCAAAUUCUUUUUCCAUUAUCACAGGUCAGAGAGAAAGCCUCGUUAGGCGUAUUAUUCUGAAAAUUGAAAAGAAAUUAGUAGACUGCCACCUCCAAAAUAGACUAUGAAUAGACGAAAUUAGGGCUAUCUUAAAGAAUAAAAGGAGAUUUGGUAGACAGCCGCCUCUAAAAUUGAUUAUGAACAAAAGAAAUCAGAGCUAUCUUGAAGAAUGACAAGAGAAUGGUUGGAUUGCCGCCGUCAAAUUUAUUAUGAACAAAAGAAAACAAGAAAGCCUAGAACAUGCCAGAGAGGCAGACAAAUUCGUGCUAGGGUAGCAGACCCCCUCAAAUCCAUCAUUUUUUCUUGUAUUAAAUAUUAAAAAUACUAAAAGAAAAAAAAUAAAAAUUCAUGUAAAUAUAUAUUUUUUAAAUGAAUGAUGAAUUUUAAGUCUGAUUCAAUCUCUGACUUAUAUUCAUUUUAUCAUUUUGGUAUUUUUUUUCCUUACUUUAGUACAUGAAUUGUCAUUUGUGUCUUAAUUUAUUAAAAUAAUAAUAAAAUAUUAUCUAUAUGAAUGUGGCACAUGACACAUUUUCAUUAGAUGAUGAAAUUUCUAAAUAAAAUAAGAUGAAAAUAGUAGUUCACUUAUAAAUAUCGAACAAAAAAAAUUAGGCACCAAGUAUAUAGUUCAAAAUACAAUCACAACUUAAUGUAUUUUUUUUCCUAAAAGUUGAAAUUAUUGAAGGUAAAGUAAAAAAAAGAAGAAGUAAAUUUUGAUUAAUUUUUAUAAGAGAUAUAUUUUUUAUAAUAACCCGAAAGUUAGAGGUAUAGGAAAAUGUAAUUUUGGAACCUCGUUUGUAACCUCCCCAACCCAGCCUAGACGUUAUACCGGAAUUUGAGAGAUUACAUCAGCCACCAAGAUGGCCUAAUAUGAUCGGAGUUUAUAAAAUAGUCAAUUUAAAACAUUUGCUUAUUUUACAAGAAAUUUUAGUUUAUUUUCAGAAAAUCUGACAAGUUAAAAAAAAUGUUUUAGUUUAACUUUCUUAAGUAACAAUGACUUCUUUAAGAAAAACUUAGUUAAUUUUUUCCAUUUAUUUAUUACUCAAAAUUUUUAAUUUAAAUCUGGUAGCGAAAAAGUGAUUUUUACUUGGUUUUAAUAAAACUAUAUUUCAUGCCUUAAUUAAAUAAAAAUCAUAUUUUAAAAUUAAACAAAAUAUUAUGCAUGCUAAAUAAACACUAAAUAUGAGUCUCAUGGCACAAAAUAAACAAAAUAGUAUAGUUCCGACAUAAUAAAAAUUAUAAAAAAUAAGCCUAGUAAUACUUUCACAAAAGUAAAACAUUUCUAAGCACCGUAUGUUGUGUCCGCGUCCUAGCCUGGUGGGUUAUCCGUAAAGAUGGAAAUAAAAUGGGAGUGAACUAUGAAACUAAGUGUGAGUUCAAUCACAAGAAAACUAGUGCAAACAGUAGACAAAACAUACAGAAUAUCAAUUCAUAGAAUUCAUCACAAUUAAUUAGCAAUACAUAAUAUCAGUAAAUCAUAUCAAUUCAUCAAAAUAAUAUCUCAAUGUUCAAAGCCAUGUAUAUGUCUUAUAAAUUCAAUACAAUUUCAGUUAAUUAGAAUUGAUCCCACCCAACUCCACUACACAUACAGUAAGAGUUCCCCAUAACUCCUCUACCUUUACACCACGGUGUGGAUGAACCACUAACAUUGUAGAUGAACUGCUAGUACGGUAUGGAUAAACCACUAAUAAUAAAAAAGGGUGGAUGAACCAACAGGGUUUUUCUGAUAAAUUUUUUUUGCAAAUAAGUUGUCAGUAGGUUGUAGAUGCACAACACAUUUGCAAAUUAAAGUUGCUAAUACGAUAUGGGUAAACCACUAAUCGGUGUAGAUAAAAGUUGCUAAUACGGUGUGAAUAAACCACUAAAUGGUGUAGAGAAGCUGCUUGUACUUCCUCCGUACAUAUAGUCCCACCUUAUACAAUGCAAUAAGGCAAGCUCAAACAGAUCAAUAUGAUAGCAUUUAAUUGCGCUUUUAACAGAACAACAUAGUAGCAAUCAAUAUGCUUAUAACAGUUCAAUACAGUAGCAAUUAAUAUGCUUAAAACAGUUCAACUCAAUAGCAAAAGUCAUGUUUAUUUAAGUGUUCGGCUUAACGGUGUCAUAAAGCAUACUAUACGUACAAUCGCAAACACUGAAGCAAUAAUCAUACAUAUUUUUCACAAUUCAUACACUUAUAUAAUCAUCAUAUUAAUAGGGUCAGUUUAUUCUUGGAUUUUGACAUAAUUCAUAGUCUUAGGGACUUAAUUGAAUAAUAUAGUAUACUAAAAUAGUUUGAGAAUCAAUCAAGGACUAAACUGAACAUAUCAUAAAAUUUUGGGAAAAAAUAUAAAAUCUAAAAAAUAGGGGCAAAUUUGUAAAAUCUGAAACCUAGGGGACACACGACGUGUGGAAAGCCCUGGACUGUGUGGAGGGGGUACACGGCCAUGUGACUAUGCUGUGUGAUAGACUGUGGCGGUGUGGUAUUUGCAAAAUCAACUUAAAGAGGAGACAUAGCCAUGUAGCAGGCUGUGUAGAGGGUCUUAGGCCAUGUUAGAAUCAAAAAACCUAGGGUUUCUGAGGGAAAUGGCCAUGUGAGGGGUUGUGUGAUCCAUAUGGGUAGCCUCAUUUCGAUACACGAUUUGCCCCGAUUUACUUGUAAAAAAGCACACACCUUUCACUGAAAUUCUAAGCAACGUCCCUCACGUUCAAAUCUUAUUUGAUGCACCUGUAACAUGUCCUUCAAAUCACAUUUGUACACAGGUUAGGUUUUGUUUUCUAAGAUUUAUUAAGAUUCUACAAUAUUAACGAAAGAUUCAUCAAGAACCAAAAAAGAUUGAUUAGAUUGAAUGAAAUAUUAGUUUCAAUAAAAAAUAUUACGAAAAUUUGGGAUCUAAACUUUGAAUCAAGAUAUAUUUACCAAUUUUUUAUAAGAAUAGAGAUGCUAUUGACGUCAAUCACAAGAGAAAGAAAAUGAAAAGAGAAUAAAUAGAAGGAUAGAGGGUAAAUUCUAUUAGGAUUUGAAAAUGGGCAAAUUGAAAUUCUAAUUAAGAAAAGAAGAUAAAAAAAAAGAUGGUAGAAUUAUAAUUCUAUUUGAAUUUUGAGAAAAGGUAAUAUAUGAGUUCUAAUUAGGAAAUAAUUUUUUUCUGAAUUUGAAAUUAAAAUGAAAGUGGGAAAGAAGGCAACGACUGAAACUCUAGUUUUAAGGAGUAUCAUCGCCUUACCAUUGAGGCUAUUGCUCAUUAUUUCUUAAUUUUGCAUAUUUUAAUGUUUGGGGACUUGCCGAAAUUCAACAUUAUAAGGAAAAUGAGGGCUCAAACUUAGGUCUUUUGAGAAGUGUUCUAGCGUUUUAACCAUGGGGCUAUCACCCAUUUCUUGUUAAGUUUUAUCCUCAACAGUAUAUAUUUUAGUAUGGCCGUUAUCUUAGGUUAUUGAAAAUUAAAAGAAAAAAAUUGAAAGGAAUAGGGAUUGAACCUAGGACUUCUAGGAUGGAGGCACUAAUGCCUAACUAAUCAAUCUAUAUCUUAUUUCUUUAUUAUUUUAUUCACUUAAUUGUAUAUAUUUAUUUCGAACCCAACUCACUUAUUUUUUAUUAGCUUAAUAUUUACUCAAUUUUUUUCUUAUUAACUUAUUUAACUUUAUAAUUUUUAACACAUGCCUAUUUUAGUUUAUAUACAAUAAUUAAUACUCAUAGUCAAGCCUUAUCAUUAAUAUUUUAAUUCAUUUUACCUAUUUUCCAAUUUGGUCCUAACUCAAUUAAAACAUAUUAUUUUCAAAUUAAAUGUAACAACCCGUUUUUAGGUCAAUUUGGAAUAGUAGUUUUGAGACCACAAAUUGGAAGUCAAAAUAUUUAUUUUAUUAUUUUAAUAAGUUUUACAGUAUGAUAGAUUAAUUAUGUGAAAGUUUCAUUAAGAAAUUUUACUGUUUAAAUGCUUAAUUCGAUAAAAAGGACUAAAUCGCGUAAAGAGUAAAACUUGUGUUCUAUUAGCUAAAAGUGUCAAAUAGCUAUAGAACAUUAAAUUAAAGGUCCUUAAGUGAUAAAUAGCCCAUUUUUGGUUAGUGGAUGAUGAUAGCAUGGCAAAUGGUGUAAUUUUAAAUUAUUUUUAAGGUUAAAAUGGUAAAUGUUUAAUAAAUGUUAUAAUAAACAAAACCAAAAUUUUAUUUUAUCAUCAUCAUCUUCCUUAGCCGAAAUUGGGAAGAAGAAAAGAAGAAAUUCUAGGUUUUCAUUUGGCUAUGGUUCAUUAGCUAAUUAAGGUACGAUUUUUGCUCGGUUUUUAAUGAUUUCUACAUUUUUGAACUUGUUGCAACUUAAUCUAGCUAGCCCGUACCUUCGUUUUUGAAAUUUUUAUAGAUUUUAAAUGAUGCCAUGGUUCAAUACUUGAUUUAUUUGAUGUUUAAUGAUAGAUUAUGGAAGCUUGAUGAUAGUUUUACAAGUUUUAUAAAGUGAUUUUUGAUAAAUAAAUAAAAAAAGUCAAAUAGGGAUUAAAUUGUGAAAAUGUAAAAUAUGGUAGUUAAAAGUGUGAAAUAAUGAAAGAAAUUGGCUGCUAGACAUCCUAAUGAAAUUUGGCUACCAUGGGAUUAUGGUUUAAUUGUGUAAUUUUACAUUUUUAUGUAUUAAGGACUAAAUUGUAAAGUAGUCAAAAGUCUAGGGUAAAAUUGUAAAUUAGCCAAAAUGAAUGUUUUAGGUUAAAUUGAAUUGAAUGAAAGUUGAAUGUGUUAAUUUGAUAUCAUAUAGAGCAAGAUAAACAAAUACCGGAACUAGAUCGGGGAAAAAGAAAGUUUG